CCUACGGGUGGCAGCAGUGAGGAAUAUUGGUCAAUGGACGAGAGUCUGAACCAGCCAAGUCGCGUGAAGGAUGACUGCCCUAUGGGUUGUAACCUUCUUUUAUAUGGGAAUAAAACGUUCCACGUGUGGGAUUCUGUAUGUACCAUAUGAAUAAGGAUCGGCUACCUCCGUGCAAGCAGCCGCGGUAAUACGGAGGGUCCGAGCGUUAUCCGGAUUUAUUGGGUUUAAAGGGGGCGUAGGUGGAUUGUUAAGUCAGUUGUGAAAGUGUGCGGCUCAACCGUAAAAGUGCAGUUGAAACUGGCAGUCUUGAGUACAGUAGAGGUGGGCGGAAUGCGUGGUGUAGCGGUGAAAUGCUUAGAUAUCACGAAGAACUCCGAUUGCGAAGGCAGUUCACUGGACUGCAACUGACACUGAGGCUCGAAAGUGUGGGGAUCAAACAGGAUUAGAUACCCCAGUAGUC
rnacentral:rRNA from 1 species